GGCGGGCUAUACAUGCAGUCGAACGGUAUAUAUCUUUCGGGAUAUAGAGAGUGGCGCACGGGUGCCUAACGCGUAUGCAACCUACCCAAUACAGGGGGAUAGCCCGGAGAAAUCUGGAUUAAUACCCCAUGGCACCUUAGAGGGGCAUUCCUUUAAGGUUAAAGAUUUAUCGGUAUUGGAUGGGCAUGCGUCUGAUUAGCUAGUUGGAGGUGUAACGGACCACCAAGGCGACGAUCAGUAGGGGUUCUGAGAGGAAGGUCCCCCACACUGACACUGAGAUACGGGCCAGACUCCUACGGGAGGCAGCAGUAGGGAAUAUUGGGCAAUGGACGAGAGUCUGACCCACCCAUGCCGCGUGCAGGAAGACGGCGUUCUGCGUUGUAAACUGCUUUUAUCUGGGAAGAAAAGGCCCAUGCGUGGGACAUUGCCGGUACCAGAUGAAUAAGCACCGGCUAACUCCGUGCCAGCAGCCGCGGUAAUACGGAGGGUGCAAGCGUUGUCCGGAUUUAUUGGGUUUAAAGGGUGCGUACGCGGC
rnacentral:rRNA from 1 species